rnacentral:sRNA from 1 species
UUUUAUGCAAUAAGGAUUGCAACGGAUAGCUUUUGUAGUGCUUUUGCUUUUGGCACUACAAAACUAUGAGUGGAAAGCCUGGUACCGC